rfam:Trichobilharzia regenti genome assembly, scaffold: TRE_scaffold0004996
AUCCAUAUAACGAGUCCAGAAUAGGACGAAAUGCGCAUCUUGCAU